rnacentral:lncRNA from 1 species
CUCGUUUACUGCGCAUAAGGAAGCAAAGGUAAACCACUUCCAUAUUUUUACCAAGGAAACUGUAUGGAUACACGAGGAAAAUGAUUGCAGACAGAGGUUGGCCGUUCUGGGAGAGAUGUGUCUACGGGCGUCGCUAUGUGUCAGAGACGACUCAACGGCUUAAGACAGCAACAGACCUGACACACGACACAGGAAGACUUUUUGAAAAAGUAACCUUCAUCUAGCCAGUGAAGAAACAAGUUGGAGUCCCUGGCACCGCAAAGACAACUUCCCAGGACCCCCACCUCUGGCCCGAACCUGAGGCCUGUGGGCCUC